AAAGGAAGCGAACGAAGCUAGUGAACGCUCUGUCAUACUUUCCUACUUGCUUGCAAGUCGGACGCUGUGGCGAGCCCUGUUCGAUUUGAUUGCUCCAUGUGAAAGCAGGCAAAGAAAAGACACCCAUUCUCUUUUGCCUUNUUGCCUUUGGCACGUGCUGUGAUCGAGUUGAACCAAAUAGGUUUGUUUGUCCCGUCUAGAAACACGGACCAAGGAGUCUAACAUAUGUGCGAGUACUGGGGGAACACACCUUGGUGCGCAAUGAAAGUGUCAGAGGCUGGAAUGCAAUAUGCAUUUGCACAGUCCGCCGGCCUCAAUCCCUCGGGAAAAUGGUCUGAGUGUGAGCAUACAUGUUGGGACCCGAAAGAUGGUGAACUAUGCUUGAGUAGGGUGAAGCCAGGGGAAACUUUGGUGAAGGCUCGCAGCGAUUCUGACGUGCAAAUCGAUCGUCAAACUUGAGUAUAGGGGCGAAAGACUAAUCGAACUAUCUAGUAGCUG
rnacentral:rRNA from 1 species